UCGGAAAAACCUCGGAAGGGAGCUCAUUCCACAGCCGGAGCGUCCGCGGGAGGAAAUGGCCAAUGGGUGUGAGGAUGAACACCCUGCCGACGACGAGCGGUGCGGUGAUAGAAAGCGGCCGUUGGCAUCAUGUCAAAUAGUUCCUCAGAGCACAGCCCAUUGUACAAGCGGUAGAACACACUCAAGGAGGCAAAAUCUCUCCUUAGACUUAAAGGUUCAAUACCGCUUGUGAGUUUGGGAUCAUCGACGAUUCUUACAGCGCGCCUUUGGACUGAGUCGAAGGGUCCAAGCUGGCAUCCAGGUGCUCCUGCCCAAAGGUGACAGCAGUACUCCAUAUGGGGUCUGACUUGCGAUUUAUACAGCAGCAGUCUUUGCCCCGGAGUAAAGUAUCGCCUCGCUUUAUUGAGCACACCGAGUUUUUUGGAUGCCAGCGCAGCCUUACCUUCCAGGUGGCUGCGGAAUUGGACGACACUGGAGAUGUCAACACCGAGGAUCCCAAUACUCCCUGACAUGGUAAGGGCUGUGCCUUGGAACUGUGGGACCACAGUAAAUGGGGUUUUCUUAGCGGU